rnacentral:rRNA from 1 species
UGGCGGACGGGUGAGUAACGCGUGGGUAACCUGCCUUGUACUGGGGGGCAACAGUUAGAAAUGACUACUAAUACCGCAUAAGCGCACAGUAUCGCAUGAUACAGUGUGAAAAACUCCGGUGGUACAAGAUGGACCCGCGUCUGAUUAGCUAGUUGGUAAGGUAACGGCUUACCAAGGCGACGAUCAGUAGCCGACCUGAGAGGGUGACCGGCCACAUUGGGACUGAGACACGGCCCAA